UAAUAUGAUGCAAUACAGCAGAAUUUUCACUGAAAUGCAGGGGAAGCAUUUUCUUCAGGCUGAGCUACAAACAAAAUUGAUCUGAUUCAUUCUGCACUACAGCACGGCUGGAGUCUACCGGAGUGAAGUCAAACUCUGGAUAUGUUGUCGCGACUUUUCGUGGCCAGAGACUCUAAAAUAUGAGAUUAAAUGGAGUCAUGAUAAUAAAAAAAUCCUUGUAUGCCUCCCUUCUAGAGUGUCCACAUGACCGCAUAUUUGAGAGCCUAUUUCCUCUCGCACUGCUGGUUUGGCGCUGUCCUGCAGACAAACACUGGUUAGUGAAAACAGUCUAUUUGAGUGGAUACUCUGUUUAGACACAGCAAAUGAGUUCACUCAGUUCAAAGCUAAUAAACCCAACACCAGUCGUCGCAGCUGCCCACCUGUGAUGCCCUAAGGAUGACGGAGAGAAAGGCCAGUGAAACCUCAGAUUCUCUCUGGUCCAGUACAUGCUUGGCACACCGUCUGCCAGCACCAGACCUAUCCCUUUCUGCCCAGUCGUGCAUUGGCAGCACAGCCGGUUGAAUAACUUUAUCUACUAAACCGUUUGGCGCUCGAGCUCAGUCGCUGAUUGAUCUGCAUGGAAACAGUCCGACGACACACGCAGGGAGCAGGGCCGUUUCUACGACUUGAGGACAUCGGGGGCUUUGGCCCACACCUCCCUGGGGGGGGGGGAUCCUCUCUCGAAAUAAAAUGAACAAGCUCUAUUGAAAUGCUCUCCCAUGC